rnacentral:lncRNA from 1 species
GGCACGGUUCCUCGAAAAAUAAUUUGCCAAAGGCUGUUGUUUUGAGCGAGGAUGCCACCAAAAUAAACGGACAAAUUGAGUAUGACCAUGCAAAAGCGCGAAUAUGUGGCCUCGUAGCUCCGUUCAAUGCUAACGGAAUGCCAGAGAGCAAUAUUUUCAGAACAACCAACCCAGUACAAGUCCUAAACAAUAUAAACAACUAUCCGGUGGGCCGUAACGUCUACGUUUGCAUGGCGCAGCCAUUGGAAGCAGGGUCACCGUCGUUCUGUUUGCAGUAUUUUUGCAGCGAUAACAAAUUUACUGCAAAGCAAGUAACCACAAGAUGGAAGCAUUACAGAGAGGUUAUGGACAAAGAAGGAAUUAUAAUUGUCGGACAUGCCAGUGACGGAGAUCCUCGACCAAUCGGAUCCAUGCUUGAUGGUAUGGAGAUGCCGAGCAGUUCUAAUUCAACAUAUGGAGAUGACUAUUGCGCAACGGCGCUCCCCGAACGCGUUUACAUGCAGGAUUACACCCACGGCGUAAAUAAGCUGAAAGUGAAAAUCUUAAAGAAAGAUGUUGAGUUGCUUUUAGGAAAAUUUAAAAUAUCACGACUCCAUCUUGAGACACUCCUUGCAAAUGUUCAUAAGAGUGUGCACGGACUUUCUCCAGCGGACCUGAAUGACGGGGACAAGAUGAAGUUCCAGCCUGCUCUGCGUAUGUCGAAACAAUGCGUUAUCGAUGCGCUGAGAGCACACGUCCCCGAAAGCAACGCAACAGCCUUGUAUCUCACUAUGAUGAAGGAUAUUGUGGACACAUUUAUUACCAGAACAGAACUCUGUCCAGUUAAAAACGUGUUCAAAAUUUGGCACGUACUAUUCAUCUUGCGGGCUUGGCGGAACAUGUGCAUGAGAAAAUACAACGGUA